rfam:Callithrix jacchus chromosome 16, whole genome shotgun sequence
GCCGGGCAUGAUGGCUCAUGCCUGUAAUCCCAGCACUUUGGGAGGCUGAGGUGGGUAGAUCACCUGAGGUCAGGAGUUUGAGACCAGCCUGACCAACAUGGAGAAAUCCCAUCUCUA